CAGUUCGGAUCGCAGGCUGCAACCCGCCUGCGUGAAGUCGGAAUCGCUAGUAAUCGCGGAUCAGCAUGCCGCGGUGAAUACGUUCCCGGGCCUUGUACACACCGCCCGUCACACCAUGAGAGUCGGGAACACCCGAAGUCCGUAGCCUAACCGAAAGGGGGCGCGGCCGAAGGUGGGUUCGAUAAUUGGGGUGAAGUCGUAACAAGGUAAC
rnacentral:rRNA from 1 species